rnacentral:rRNA from 1 species
AGGAAUCUGCCUAUUAGUGGGGGACAACAUCUCGAAAGGGAUGCUAAUACCGCAUACGUCCUACGGGAGAAAGCAGGGGACCUUCGGGCCUUGCGCUAAUAGAUGAACCUAAGUCGGAUUAGCUAGUUGGUGGGGUAAAGGCCUACCAAGGCGACGAUCUGUAGCGGGUCUGAGAGGAUGAUCCGCCACACUGGGACUGAGACACGGCCCAGACUCCUACGGGAGGCAGCAGUGGGGAAUAUUGGACAAUGGGGGGAACCCUGAUCCAGCCAUGCCGCGUGUGUGAAGAAGGCCUUUUGGUUGUAAAGCACUUUAAGCGAGGAGGAGGCUACCGAGAUUAAUACUCUUGGAUAGUGGACGUUACUCGCAGAAUAAGCACCGGCUAACUCUGUGCCAGCAGCCGCGGUAAUACAGAGGGUGCAAGCGUUAAUCGGAUUUACUGGGCGUAAAGCGCGCGUAGGUGGCCAAUUAAGUCAAAUGUGAAAUCCCCGAGCUUAACUUGGGAAUUGCAUUCGAUACUGGUUGGCUAGAGUAUGGGAGAGGAUGGUAGAAUUCCAGGU